UAAACUGAAGUUGUGAAGAUGAAUGUAACUUUCCAAAUGUUUCUCAUGUAUUAUACUUAUCCUCUAUAAAACUAAGCAAAUUUUAUUCUUCUCCAUAGAGACAUACUUAAUGACUAUAGAGAGCUGGGUUUCUGUAGUAAUGCUGUAAAAAAAAAUAUUUAAAAACCGUCAAUAUUGGGUAUAAUUAGCACUUGGCUAUAAUUAUCCUAAACCUGUUACUUGCUAAUGCACAUUUUCUUCAAAUAAAUUCUGACAGUUUUGCAGUCAUAUAAAGUCCAUAUGAAUACCAUGAGGUAUUUCCACAUGAUAGGCAUAUUAUAUUAAUUAAAAAUGUACACAUAAAUGUUUUUGUUAUUUUUUUCCUUUUCAAAAAGCACCAAUUUGCCUGUUUCAGGUGCUUGUCUUGCAGUUAGCAGCAGCAAGCACUCAUGUGCCUGUUCAUUUGAAGUGAAAACUAAGGCCACUCUAUUGAGUUUUAUAGCUACUACCAUCCUUAGGACAAUAAUGCCUUCAAAAAGCUCUCUACCUACCAACAUCACUCUCUUCUCUGGAUCACUACCCAAUUCAUUAUAGAAAAUGUUUAGAUGAAGAAUAGCAUCUUGAUUAUGAGCAUCAAUAAAUAAAUAAACAGAAAGGAAUGAUGAAAGAGAACAAAUAUACAUGUUUUUUCCAAGUAAAUACAUAAAGAGUUGUUAAAAUCAUAUUUAGGACUCUCUAUUGAAUUUUCCUUGAAAUAAAGUUAUAACUUCUCAACCCUGAAUUAUCACAGGAGUAAUAAGAAAGACAACCAGAAUGUCUGCCUUCUUCCUCUGACAUUCUACUAUUCCUAACCUUGAGAAAUAUGCUCAAAAAUAGCAUGGCAGUCGAUCAUGAGAGGAAAACGAAUGGAAAAUGGUAUAUAUGGAUUACAACUAGCAGAAUUACUUUUAAACAAUAGGAUAAAAAAUAAAAUCAUUAUAAUAAAUAUUGACUUAAAAAUUAGUGAGGCUUAGUUUAGGGAAAACUAUACCCUCCUAUAAGUCAAGAUUAUAAAUGUCAUUGUGAAAUUUUGGGUUUUAUAGCAUUGCCAGAAGAACUAAUCAUUUUAAAAGUUGACCAAUUUUUUCAGCAUUUGGCAAAGUGUCUAUUUCUAAAUAUGAUGAUUUAAAAUAUUUAUAAAAUCCUAGCGAUUUUGAUACUGAAUCAGUUUAUGUUUUAUUCUUAUAAAAAUAUUUUUCUUUUACAUGAGAAAGACAUAGUUGCCAAGAGCCAUUUCCUCAUUAAAGUAUACUUUGUGGUUUGUGAUGCAUCAUGUAGCAAAGCUGAAAAUAAAACAUCCUUGUUCUCCUCACAGAUAAAUCUUAAGACAGCAGAAGAUAUAUGCUAUUGCCGUAAGAAACUGGUAUAUACUUGCUGACCCUCUUAGAUUAUUUCUACAUUUUAGUAUUUUGUGUAUGUGUGUAAAAUGUGAAAAGCAUAAUUACAUACCAAAGGCUAUCUGUACUUAAUAUUUCUUACAAUUUUUGGCUUAAAGUAAUACAAGCAACUUAUUUUGUCACUCUCUCUGUUUUAGCCAGAAGCAAAGUACUGUGUGGCAUCUGAUGACCAGUUGGUGUUGUUUGUGAUUGCUAUACAUGAAAGGUAGCAGAUGGAUAUGACUCAUGUGGAAUUAUAUAUACAUCUACCACUCAGGAGCCCUCCAAAACCUAUGAGACUAUGUUGUACAAAUUGCUCUUUAGGAAAUAACUAUCUUUGUUGAACCUGUCUAUUCUUUAUCAAGAUAAGACACAUUUUUGUUUAAACAUGGAAAGCUAAGUAUUGAAGUUUUAACUAAAAUUUGAAAACAAGUUCUUUUAUAGCAAAUUAUACAUGAUUAGAAAUAUUUCAUAGUUUAAAUUAUCUUCACUUAUUACCCACAUUUAUCCUAUGCAGAUAUUUUAAACAAUUGUAGUGCCCUCUUUCGGAUUUGGCAUGCCUACUGGUAACUAACUACUGGUAACUAGCAGAUAAAUCUUCUUUGAGAAAAUGCUUAUCAGUAUCCUUGCUGUUGACCUUUGCUUACCCACAUACUGAAAUCAGAAGCAGGUCUUUAUAUGAGGUCAAAUAUUCUCCUCGAAAUUCCAAAACUGUGUUGCAUAACAGUGGUGAAAGUGGACAUCUUUGUCUUGUUCCUGAUCUUGUGGAAAGGCUUUUAGAUUUUCACCAUUGUAAAUGAUGUUAACUGUGUGUUUGUCAUAUAUGUCCUUUAUUAUAUUGAGGUAAGUUCUCUCUAUGCCUACUUUCUGGAGUUGUUUUUGUUUUUAAUGAGAAAUGAGUGCUGAAUUUUGUCAAAAGCUUUUUCUGCAUCUAUUGAAAUGACCAUACGGUUUUUAUUCUUCAGUUUGUUAAUGUGGUGUAUCACAUUUAGUUGAUUCGUGGAAUUGAAGAAUCCUUGCAUCCCUGGGAUAAAUCCCACUUGAUCGUGGCAUAUGAGCCUUUUAAUGUAAUGUUGGAUUUAGUUUGCUAAUAGUGUAUUGAGUAUAUUUGCAUCUGUGUCCAUCAAUUAUAUUGGCCUGUAAUUUUCUUUUUUGUGGUAUCUUUAUCUGGUUUUGGUAUUAGGUUGAUGGUGGAUUCAUAGAAUGAGUUUGGGAGUAUUCCUUCCUAUGCAAAUUUUGGAAGCGUUUCAGUAGAGUGUGUGUUAACUUUUCUCUGAAUGUUUGAUGAAAUUCACCUAAGAAGCUAUAUGGUACUGGAAUUUUGUUUUUUGGAAGUUUUUUCCUUUUUUUUUUUUCUUUUUAGGUUUGCAUCUGUGGCAUAAGGAAGUUCCCAGACUAGGGGUUGAAUCAGAACUAUAAUUACAGGCCUACCCCACAGCCACAGCAAUGCAGGAUUCAAGUCGAGUCUGCCUCCUACACCACAGCUCAUGGCAACUCCAGAUCCUUCACCCACUGAGCAAGGCCAGGGAUUGAACCCAAGUCCUCAUGGAUAAUAGUCGGGUUUGUUAUCACUGAGCCACAAUGUGAGCUCCUGUUUUUUGGAAGUUUUUAAAUAAGUUUCAAUUUCCGUACUCGUGAUUGGUCUGUUCAUAUUUUCUACAUCUUCCAGUUUAAGUCUUGGAAGUUCUGCCUUUAUAAGAAUUUGUCCAUUUCUUUUAGGCUGUCCAUUUUAUCGGUAUAGAGUUAUAUGUAGAAGUCUUUUAUGAUCCUUUCUACUUCUGUGGUAUUAGUUAUAACUUCACCUUUUUCAUUUCCAAUUUUAUUCACUUGAGCCCAGUCCAUUAUUUCUUGAUGAGUCUGGCUAAAAGUUUAUCAAUUUUGUUAAUCUUUUCAAAGAAACAGAUUUUAGUUUCAUUGAUCUUUUCUAUUGUUUUCAUCACUGUCUCAUUUAUUUCUGCUCUGAUCUUUAUAAUAUCCCACCAACUUUUAAAAGGCUAAAUUUGUCUCUGUAAAAACUUUCUUUUAAGUCUCUUCAGUAUUUGUAUAUAGCAUUUUAAUUGUAUGAAUCAAAAUAUAUCACCCAUAUAUAGUCUAUUUAUCAUGACAAAUUAGGCUUGCUUUUCUUUACACUAAUAAUAACGUAACUGUAAUUAAGAUUCACAGAGGUAAAAAAUUACUGGACUUUUUUUAUUGGACUAAAUCCAUUUUAAUUAUUCAAGCAUUAAAGAAAAAAUUGUGGUGGAAUCACUGUAAUGCAAUUUUAAAUGAAUUGUAUGUAAAAUAAAUUAUUAGAGAAGGCAGCUGGACACUUUUUAAACUGUAUUAUUGAUUUUUACAUAUGGCCAUCUCUAUUAGGCUAUGGAUGUGGUAGCACUAACUUCAAGUUAGAAUGGCCUCUGAAGUUAAGAACUAUAAAAUUACCUUGGAAGUGAAAUAAAAAUCUAGUUAUAAAGAUACUAGUAGAUUAAACUUUUAUAGGACAUGCUUAUAAUUUUAAAGUUCUUAAAUUCUGUGAUGCUGUAGUCUAUGUGAUUUUUCAUAUCGGCUUUUUAUACAGAGACAUGAUAUUUUUUAAAAUAAUUUAAAAGAUUGUGAUUUUUUUUAAGGGAAAAAAAUGAAAUUCCUUUCCAAUUUGUAAAUGAUUUAUUUUGGAUCAAAUUAUCAGUUGCUUCAUUUUGUACCAGUAUUAUGUACUGAAAGCUUAUUAUGUAGUUUGAGUAGAGAAAUAAUUGGGUGGUAUGUUUUAUCAUGUUGAAAUAAAUUUUAGGAGAUAUUGUAAUGUUUAGGAUAAGUCUUCACUUUUUCUACUGAAGUACACAUGCUUAAAAUAGCAUAUUUAGGAGUUUUUAAAUCACAUCUAUAUUAUUUUAAUAGCCAUUUAUUCUUUCUGUUUUGCCUACUGCAUUUAUUGUUAAAGUUUUCUUCACCUAUUACAGAUUAUUUCUAAAUCAAAAUAAAGAUAAUAUUUAUUCUAAAAUAACUUUUCAAUACACUGUGAUGUACAAUAUUCAGUUACAGUAGACAUUUGAUCAAAACUAAAUUUGCCUAUCAUGCUCUUUUUGAGCAUCAAUAAAAAAUUUUGAAACCCCUUUUGAUGCCAAAGACAUCAAUAAGCUUGAAUCUCUUAUAUUCUAAAGUGACUUGCACUCUUGUUGCCAAGUGUUGCUUAAAGGGAAAGUGCUUUCUGCUAACUUUUGAGACAAUAUAAAAUCAUUUGGCAGCAAUUAAACUUAAUUUUUUAAACCGUAUUAUUUUAUUAUUGUAGUAUAUUGUCUUUAAGAUUAAAUUUACUGUAUUCUUACAUUUUUAAUCUAUUCUGCACAUCGUACACCAAAAAUGCCUGAAGUCAAUAUGCUAAUUAAAGGUAAACUAAGCCUAAUUAAAGGUAAAGUUACAUACAACAGACUCAUUUUUCAGUAAUACCAAGCAUACUAACAGAUUUUUUUAAAUCCAUUAUUAUAUAGACUUAAGUUGAAACUAUGUAAUAUAAAAUAAGUAAAAUAAAAGAGAUAAAAAUCUCAGGCUGUGUUUAUAGUUCACUAGUUAUCAAAACAAAUUCACUCAUUUAUCAGAUUGAUGCAUUAUCUAUUCAUUACCUCAUGCUGGGCUGAGUUCUGCUGAUAGGGAGAGUAGCAAUGUGUAAAGAAGCAUCGCAAAACUUAUCAUGCUUAGCCUAAUUGUACCAUGGACAUAUCCAAUACAUAUGUAAAGUGUUCAAUACAAACAUUAGCAUGAAUUUAAAAGAUAGCAAAUAAUCUUACAUCUGUAGUAGAGAUAUGUCUAAUUCAGUUGUAUUUUAUAGCUGUGUUGACAAAUAAGAGGGAAAUUAAGAAAAAAAGUAUAUUUACUUAUCAUUUAUUAGGCAUUCUUUAAUUUUGUACAGGCAGAGAAUACAAUUCCUGUGUUUUCCUUCUAUGCUAUUCAUUGUUACCCUAUACCCCACACUCAUCAUUCAGUUUAUUUCCUGCAUCCUCUUUCUCCUGCUCCAGAAGACCUAUAUAUAUCUACACU
rnacentral:lncRNA from 1 species